GGCCUGAUGGUCUAGGAGUAUGAUUCGUUGUUAGGGUUGCGCUACUGCUUGCCGGUCUUUUCGACGAGGUCCCGGGUUCAAUUCUCGGUCAGGCCC